rnacentral:rRNA from 1 species
GAUGAACGCUGGCGGCGUGCCUAAUACAUGCAAGUCGAGCGAACAGACGAGGAGCUUGCUCCUCUGACGUUAGCGGCGGACGGGUGAGUAACACGUGGAUAACCUACCUAUAAGACUGGGAUAACUUCGGGAAACCGGAGCUAAUACCGGAUAAUAUAUUGAACCGCAUGGUUCAAUAGUGAAAGACGGUUUUGCUGUCACUUAUAGAUGGAUCCGCGCCGCAUUAGCUAGUUGGUAAGGUAACGGCUUACCACGGCAACGAUGCGUAGCCGACCUGAGAGGGUGAUCGGCCACACUGGAACUGAGACACGGUCCAGACUCCUACGGGAGGCAGCAGUAGGGAAUCUUCCGCAAUGGGCGAAAGCCUGACGGAGCAACGCUGCGUGAGUGAUGAAGGUCUUCGGAUCGUAAAACUCUGUUAUUAGGGAAGAACAAAUGUGUAAGUAACUAUGCACGUCUUGACGGUACCUAAUCAGAAAGCCACGGCUAACUACGUG